rnacentral:rRNA from 1 species
GACGAACGCUGGCGGCGUGCUUAAUACAUGCAAGUCGAAGGGGCUUACCAUCUUCGGAUGGUGAGUCACUGGCGCACGGGUGAGUAACACGUAAGUGAUCUGCCCUUGGGUCUGGCAUAACUCCGGGAAACCGGAGCUAAUUCCAGAUGACAUCUCACGAUCAAAGCCUUCGGGUGCCCAGGGAUGAGCUUGCGUCUGAUUAGCUAGUUGGCGGGGUAACGGCCCACCAAGGCAACGAUCAGUAGCCGGUCUGAGAGGAUGAUCGGCCACAUUGGGACUGAGACACGGCCCAGACUCCUACGGGAGGCAGCAGUAAGGAAUAUUGCGCAAUGGACGAAAGUCUGACGCAGCAACGCCGCGUGCAGGAUGAAGGCCCUUUGGGUUGUAAACUGCUGUAGCAGGGAAUAAUGGCCACUUCGAGUGGUUUGAAGGUACCCUGAAAGUAAGCGCCGGCUAACUACGUGCCAGCCGCCGCUGUAAC